rnacentral:rRNA from 1 species
UACGGAGGGUGCGAGCGUUAAUCGGAAUUACUGGGCGUAAAGGGCUUGUAGGCGGUUGAUUAAGUUAGGUGUGAAAUCCCUGGGCUCAACCUAGGAAUGGCAUUUAAGACUGGUGAGCUAGAGUACUGUAGAGGGGGGUAGAAUUCCAGGUGUAGCGGUGAAAUGCGUAGAGAUCUGGAGGAAUACCGGUGGCGAAGGCGGCCCCCUGGACAGUGACUGACGCUGAGGAGCGAAAGCGUGGGGAGCAAACAGG